AGUCGAACGAUGAUCCGGUGCUUGCACCGGGGAUUAGUGGCGAACGGGUGAGUAACACGUGAGUAACCUGCCCUUGACUCUGGGAUAAGCCUGGGAAACCGGGUCUAAUACCGGAUAUGACUGCCGGCCGCAUGGCCUGGUGGUGGAAAGCUUUAUUGCGGUUUUGGAUGGACUCGCGGCCUAUCAGCUUGUUGGCGGGGUAAUGGCCCACCAAGGCGACGACGGGUAGCCGGCCUGAGAGGGUGACCGGCCACACUGGGACUGAGACACGGCCCAGACUCCUACGGGAGGCAGCAGUGGGGAAUAUUGCACAAUGGGCGCAAGCCUGAUGCAGCGACGCCGCGUGAGGGAUGAAGGCCUUCGGGUUGUAAACCUCUUUCAGUAGGGAAGAAGCGAAAGUGACGGUACCUGCAGAAGAAGCGCCGGCUAACUACGUGCCAGCAGCCGCGGUAAUACGUAGGGCGCAAGCGUUAUCCGGAAUUAUUGGGCGUAAAGAGCUCGUAGGCGGUUUGUCGCGUCUGCCGUGAAAGUCCGGGGCUUAACUCCGGAUCUGCGGUGGGUACGGGCAGACUAGAGUGCAGUAGGGGAGACUGGAAUUCCUGGUGUAGCGGUGAAAUGCGCAGAUAUCAGGAGGAACACCGAUGGCGAAGGCAGGUCUCUGGGCUGUAACUGACGCUGAGGAGCGAAAGCAUGGGGAGCGAACAGGAUUAGAUACCCUGGUAGUCCAUGCCGUAAACGUUGGGCACUAGGUGUGGGGGACAUUCCACGUUUUCCGCGCCGUAGCUAACGCAUUA
rnacentral:rRNA from 1 species